UUCUGAGCAGCUCCAGUUUCGUAGCGCCCUCGUGUGUCUGGAGGAAGAAACGUCCUGGAUUUGAGUUUGACAGUGAGGAGACUCAAUGGCGGCGCGUGAAAGGAUCCAGAAGAAACCACAAGCAGUCGAAAUCCAAGGCACCUGUCUUCUCCAAAAGUUGUUGAAGUCACUUCCAUGUCUGCAUGCCCACCAGCUAUGGUUGUGUAUAGCCAUGUGAAUUAACUAUUGGAGAAUUAUCAUCUAUUUUGACUUUGGAAACUAUUGAUACGGUCUAAGGGUUUUGGAAUGAUAUAGUCUAGGAGUCUUGGUCAGGUUUGUUGUUUCUGCCAGCCGAAGAAUUAAAAGGCAGGAAAAAUCUGAAGACCAGCAUGGAGCAGCAGAGAAAUCUUAAGCAUCGUGGACAGAAUUAGGAGUAGAAGGAAGGUGUGGGGUGACAAGCAGCUGGGGACAUCCUUCAUCCCUCAGGACCAGAGAGUGACAUAGGCUGAUAUGCAUCUCUAAUGCCUGGAGUUCUGAAGCUCCCAAGCAAGCCCUGGAUCCCACUGAAUCACAGAGGAGAGACUAGCCUCCACUCCACCAUCCACUGAAUCACAGAGACGAGCCUCCACCCCACUAUCCCCAACCCUCUGCACCACCCCAAAGCCCGAGUCUUCCUACCCUAACUUCUCUUUUUCCCUGCCUACUUCCCAGUUCUUGUAUUCUGUAGCAUGGUCUCAAAGCUUUUAUGAUCAUACAGGCCAGGGCAUGGACAUCUACCUGAACAACUGUGAAUGUGUAUGUCAUGGCACUGAACAAUGUGUUGAUUCUAUAAAACACACGGCACAUCUUCAAAGGACCAGGUGAAGGAGCAGCAGAUCCUCCUGCCAAGCACCGUGCGUUAACAUCACUCUUAAGAAACAGCACAUUAAGUAUACAUAUAUGUAUACACACACACAUAUAUAUAAUUAUAUACAC